CUUUGGCUGUGCUGAGGAGGCUUGUACAUAACUAUGCAGACACCAACAUGAAUAAUUAAUUGUUUAACUCUGUGGUGGGGUCCCGCCAGGAUGCAGAGGAGCCAAGGACCCCGCCACAUAUGGUGUCAGAAGUGGGAUUGCAGAGGGACCACAAAAAGGUGAGGACGCAGAGGCGGUGAGGAAGAUCAGCAAACACAGCUCAGUUCCAGGGACUCCACCCUCUGAGGAAGAGGGGGUGGAUCCAGGUGGCCUUGGCGGUGCUUCAGGCCAGGCCAGGGGCCCGGAGAGAACUGCGGCGUCCAGCUCAGCGCCCAUGACGAGCGGCGGACCUCGCUGACAGCAAGGGCGGACACCGUGUUUUAUUGUUUGUGCAUUUGUGUAUUUUAUGUUUUAAAAUUACUACCUGUGGUGCCACUUGGACAAUAAUUGAGUGGAACGCCCAACAGGCGUGGCUUAGCGUUCAAAAGGGAGCACCACAGGUUGUGAAAGGAGGAGGAGUGAGACUGAGGUGUCAGGUGCUGUGUGGCCCUGCGUAGAGCUAUUGUUUCCUGAAAUAAAGACCGAACUGCCUCA